GGAGUUGGAGUAAGAAGAAAGACCAUCAGAGUGAUGUAUACAUAUAUAUGACAGAAGAAUAAUUGACCUAGAAGCCAAAACAUCACCCUGAUCUACCAAGAAAGCUGACACUGGAAGAGAGGCUGACACGAGAAGACUUCCUAAUCCUGAAUUCUAGAAUGAGAACCUGAAUCUGAGAAGCCAAGGAAAAGAGGAAGCCUCUUGGAAAAGAGGCUAAGCUAAGAAGGUAGAAAGGAGAAGAAAAGGGCAGCAGGCUAGACCGCUGGUGAGAGAGAACCUCCGUGGCUUGUCUGGUCUGAACUACCAUGAGCUGCACCGGAAGUGCUGUUAACCAGGAAGAUGGUGAGAUCGUCCCUGGAGACAGGGUGCAGGUUGAGAGGUACUUCCUCAGCAAGAGUAAGGCGAAUCUCUCUGAGUCCUGGUCACGUAAAAAUGAGAUGCUUCCUGGCCCUCCUGCUCAGUGGGUGGAGCUGUCACAUGACCAGGCUCCCUUGGAUUCCUCUGCGAGCAGGGCAGAACCAUAGGAGAGAACAGCCGCAGAGGGAUGGGAGCUUGUUGCCUGGCUCCAGGCUCCUCUGCCAGCGCUCCCUGUCCACAGUUUGUAGCCGAAUGACUGAAGACCCAGCCUGGUUGUCAGAUCUGGCGUCUUGUCUCACUGCUGUACCUAACUGGUUAAGAUAACUCUCUAAACGUCUGUAAGUUCAGUUUUACUGUGAAUAAAAACGAGCAUCC
ensembl:lincRNA Gm42800 predicted gene 42800